rnacentral:ncRNA from 2 species
GACCAGACGCAGGGCGACUGUCACAGUUCGAGUGAACAUACGCGAGGGUGCGCGGUAAUCCGGUGUGAAUCCGGAGCGGUCGCGCCACUGUCAUCCACGUACCGGGUCCCCGGUGCCGGAGAGCCAGACACCGGCACCCGCGCACCACACUCG